UCCUCUGCUACAUCAUCAUCAUGUCCUCACCCAACCCAGGUACACACCUCCUCUGCUACAUCAUCAUGUCCUCACCAGGUAAAUAAUAAUAAUAUAUGCCAUUUAGCAGACGCUUUUAUCCAAAGCGACUUACAGUCAUGUGUGCAUACAUUCUACGUAUGGGUGGUCCCGGGAAUCGAACCCACUACCCUGGCGUUACAAGCGCCAUGCUCUACCAACUGAGCUACAGAACCACCAGGUCAUCUCAUUUCCACAAACCCAAAUGACCCUCCUCUUCCUCCACCCCAUGUAAAAGUGAUCCAUCCUGCCUGUGUUCAUGUGCUGCUAUAAAGGGUUUUGACUUUGUUUUCUCCCUCUACGGUAUAAACAGGUGCUGUGUUUUCUCCCUCUACGGUAUAAAACAGGUGCUGUGUUUUCUCCCUCUACGGUAUAAAACAGGUGCUGUGUUUUCUCCCUCUACGGUAUAAAACAGGUGCUGUGUUUUCUCCCUCUACGGUAUAAAACAGGUGCUGUGUUUUCUCCCUCUACGGUAUAAAACAGGUGCUGUGUUUUCUCCCUCUACGGUAUAAAACAGGUGCUGUGUUUUCUCCCUCUACGGUAUAAAACAGGUGCUGUGUUUUCUCCCUCUACGGUAUAAAACAGGUGCUGUGUUUUCUCCCUCUACGGUAUAAAACAGGUGCUGUGUUUUCUCCCUCUACGGUAUAAAACAGGUGCUGUGUUUUCUCCCUCUACGGUAUAAAACAGGUGCUGUGUUUUCUCCCUCUACGGUAUAAAACAGGUGCUGUGUUUUCUCCCUCUACGGUAUAAAACAGGUGCUGUGUUUUCUCCCUCUACGGUAUAAAACAGGUGCUGUGUUUUCUCCCUCUACGGUAUAAAACAGGUGCUGUGUUUUCCUGUGUUUGUUUGAACUUUUGGCAAGUAUUUUUUCAGGUUAUUAUAGUAGAACUGAUGUAGGUAGCUGUUGAUUGGGUGCUAGUGAGAGUGGUUAAGAUUGGUUGUG